UUUAACCUUCGGGUGGGGAAUAACGUCUCGAAAGAGACGCUAAUACCGCAUGAUGCAGCGGCACCACAUGGUGACAGUUGUUAAAGCGGGGGAUCGCAAGACCUCGCGCCUGAAGAGAAGCCCGCGGCAGAUUAGCUAGUUGGUAAGGUAAUGGCUUACCAAGGCAACGAUCUGUAGCCGGCCUGAGAGGGCGGUCGGCCACACUGACACUGAAUAACGGGUCAG
rnacentral:rRNA from 1 species